rnacentral:rRNA from 1 species
UACGUAGGGUGCAAGCGUUGUCCGGAAUUAUUUGGGCGUAAAGAGCUCGUAGGUGGUUUGUCGCGUUGUUCGUGAAAACUCACAGCUUAACUGUGGGCGUGCGGGCGAUACGGGCAGACUGGAGUACUGCAGGGGAGACUGGAAUUCCUGGUGUAGCGGUGGAAUGCGCAGAUAUCAGGAGGAACACCGGUGGCGAAGGCAGCUCGCUGGGACGGUAACUGACGCUGAGGCGCGAAAGCGUGGGGAGCGAACAGGG